rnacentral:rRNA from 1 species
GACGAACGCUGGCGGCGUGCUUAACACAUGCAAGUCGAACGGAAAGGCCCUGCUUUUGUGGGGUUCUCGAGUGGCGAACGGUUGAGUAACACGUGUGUAACCUGCCCUUGACUUUGUUAUAACUUCUUGAAACUGGGUCUAAUACCGUAUAGGAGCUCCUGCUGCAUGUUGGGGGUUGGAUAGUUUCGGCGGUUGGGGAUGGACUGGCGGCUUAUCAGCUUGUUGGUGUGGUAGUGGCUUACCAAGGCUUUGACGGGUAGCCGGCCUGAGAGGGUGACCGGCAAAAAUGGGACUGAGAUACGGCACAGAAUACAACGGGAGGCAGAAGUGGGGAAUAUUGCAAAAUGGGAGGAAGCCAGAUGAAGAAACGCAGCGUGCGGGAUGACGGCCUACGGGGUGAAAAAAGAUUUCGCCUGUGAAGAAGAGUGAGUGACGGUAAUGGGUAAAGAAGCACCGGCUAACUACGUG